AUGAGUUCUCCCUCCUUCGCUCCCCCUCCCCUGUCUCUCUCUCUCUCUUUCCCCAUCUCUUCCUCCUUGUCUCUCUCCCCCCCUUCUCUUCCUGUCUCUCUCCUUCCCUCUCUUUCUCUCUCUCUCUCCCUCUGUCUCCCCUCUCUCUGUCUCUGUAUCUCUCCCUGUCUCUCUCUCCCUCCUUCUCUCUCUGUCUCUCUCUGUCUGUCCGUCUCUCUCCCUCUGUCCGUCUCCCCCUCUGUCCGUCUCCCCCUCUGUCUGUCCGUCUCUCUCUCUGUCCGUCUCCCCCACGUCUGUCCAUCUCUCCCUCUGUCUGUCUAUCUCCUUCUGUCUGUCUAUCCCCCUGUCUGUCCGUCUCUCCCUCUGUCUGUCCGUCUCUCCCUCUGUCUGUACGUCUCCCCCUCUGUCUGUCUGUCUCUCUCCCUCUCUGUCUCUCUCUGUCUGUCCGUCUCUCCCCCUGUCUGUCCAUCUCUCCCUCUGUCUGUCCGUCUCUCUCUCUGUCUGUCUCUCCCCCUCUGUCUGUCCGUCUCUCCCUCUGUCUGUACGUCUCCCCCUCUGUCUGUCUGUCUGUCUCUCUCCCUCUCUCUCUGUCUGUCUGUCCGUCUCUCCCUCUGUCUGUCCGUCUCCCCCUCUGUCUGUCUCUCCCUCUCAUCAUACACGUCUUCCAAGGACUGUUCCUGCUUGUUGCUCUGCUGUGGAUCCCUUUGGAUAACCACCUGGUGAAUGGAAUGGAGGCGAGAGAGGGGAGAAGAGGGCGGGGGGAGGGGCGCCUUCCCGCUCACCGUCACCCCUUGUUUGGGGAGAAGGCGGCGCCGACCUUUUCUGACUUGCUUCUGUCCACGCCGCUCCAGAGCACAGAACGAGAGGCCAGGAGUAGCCUGGCCCGAUGGCUGAUGACCAUUUUCUAACCAAACACCCUCUACUGCCUCAGUCUACAGCCCAGCCCAGCUGCUGUGGGAGGAAGGAGCCCCCCCUGCCCCCAAGGCCUCAGGGAAAGGCUGCCCUACCCCUUGGGCCCAAGAGGAGAACUCGUGGAAACGGCCCGAGAGCCAGGCAGGGCGCCGUGUUGCAGCCCUCUUUCUAGUUCAUGAGGAAGGCCCGGCGGGGACGCCCGUGACAGCGGAGCUGGAGGGGAUCUUGGCGGGGCCUCUUUCUGACCAGCCCCCUCCGCAGAGGGGCAGCCGGACGGGCUGAGCUCUCAUCCGUGGGUCCUGCAGGCAGAGAGCCGCGGCCGGCCUCGUCUCCGGCCAUUCGAGGCCCGGGUCUCCCGGGACGCAGGAGCCGCCCCUGAGGUCACUAUGGACUCUCCGGGCAGCCUCGGAGCGGACGCUGCCCCCUCGGCCAAGGCCGUCUCCCGAGAGCCCGGUGGUGCUGGGAAGCGGCUCUGCCGAGGCAGCCGCUGAGCAGUAAACACAGAUUUUCCUUUAUAAACACAUCCAUCUUGUAACAGCAGAUCCGGGGCUCCUUCUGGCUCCAGGAGCCUCUGGCUUGCGUACAGCCGGAACAGCUAAUCCUUUUCCUCGCUGGGGCUGGGGCCAAUUUUCAGCAGGCGGAAAGACUGAUUCCCAGAGUGGACUGGCCGGCUCGGAAGCAGGAAGCCGGGGGAGGGGGGGUGACUGUUCUCUGGAAAUAUUCCGAAGAGCACUCAGUGACUCUGGGUGAGUCAUUCCCCCUGUUGGCUCUGCUGGAAACCAGGGAGCCCCAUCCAUGCAUCCCCACGUUUAUAAGGAGCAGUUCGUGUGCGCUGAGGGGCGAAGCCACCAAGACGGGCGAGACCCUCAAGAAGCUGCGCUCCAAUGGAAGAGAAGGCACGGAAAGGAAUAAGGGUGCUCACGUCCCAGAAGAGCAGGGAGAAGGCCAUCGUGGAAGGGAGACAGCAUUGAGGCGUGGGUUGUGAGCAAAAUCUAGGCAAGUCCAUUUUGGGCAGGGGAGUCCCCGCAGCUGAGGGAAUGGAAAAGGUCUUCCAUAAGAGGGGGGCUGACCUUGGGGUUUGAGGGAAGCUAGAAUGUGGGGGCAGGACGUUGUAAAAAUUAAAAUUAGAUCAAGAAUAAUUAUUAUUAUUGAGGAUACAAAAUAAAGACCACGUGCCCAUGGCUGAUUAGCCA
ensembl:lncRNA